GCUCCUUCACUUGAGAAAUAAUAUUUGCAUUCCCAUGAGCAUCAAUAUUAUGAGAUCCUAAGUCAACUUCAAAAUGAUGGCACUCGGACAGAACAGGUAUCUCAGUAGGGUGGGCUUCAGCAUCUUCUCGGGGUUGGACAGCAAUAGGCUCAUUAUACGCUUCCACUCUCUCAGACAGAACAGGUAUCUCAGUAGGGUGGGCUUCAGCAUCUUCUUGGGGUUGGACUUCUAUAGGCUCAUUGUGCGCUUCCAUUCUCUCAGACAGAACCGGUAAUUCAGUAAGGUGGGCUUCAGCAUCUUCUUGGGGUUGAACUGCCACAGGCUCAUUAUUCUCUUCCACUCCAUGAAUUUCAGUACUUGUUUUAGAAUAGGACUCUUGAU
rnacentral:lncRNA from 1 species